UCCCAUGCCGUUAGACUUUUUUUUAGGACUUCUCUAACACUAUGGUCAGGAAAUAUGCUUCUUUAAUAUGCAUAAAGAGAUGUCAGGAAAACACUUUCAUCGUGGAGGAUUUUGUAAUACUCGACCAGCCUAGCAUGGCCCACCUACUAACAUCCAGUGUCCUUGUCAUUCUCGCACUUAUAUGCAUUUUACUCUAAUCUAGCCA
rnacentral:lncRNA from 1 species